UGGCAUCUGCAAUGAGAAGGAGAGAUGAUGGUCCAGUCUGUGCUGAAGUCAAGAAUGGAUAUUCUCCCAUUUUGAUUGGUUUAUUUUUCCUUAUAACAAGGAAGUCUAAACCUGCAGCUGUUGACCCACAAUGACCAUCACCUGGGAACAGAAGGCCUCGCUGAGCAGUACUCCACAUCUUAAAAGAUCAGAGCUUCCAGGCCUUCCUCUUGAUACUUACUCCUUUACGAACCAAGUAGAGAGCGCAGAUCAGUAACCAGCAACUCAGGGGUCAGAGCCUUCUCCAUGUUCUCCUUAUUGAUCUGCAGAGGCAAAGCGAGGUGUUAUCAUCUGCUGCUCAUUGGGGACCAAAGCAUGGACUUCAUCAAGGAAGGACCAGGUUCUCCAAGGGCUUUAUGCCCAGGUGUAUCUGAGCUGCCUGAGGUGGGGGCCCUAACAAGCAGUAGGAGUGAGCAAGUCAUCAUGUUUGGACCAGACUAGAGCUGUUACACACUGAAGAUGUCCUCCAACCACAUUCAGUAACGAGAGGCUGAAGCCUUACCUGGAGCGUAGAAAUCACUCCAGUGGCAACCUGGAGCACAGCAGUCAGAGUGUCCACAACAUCAAAGACAGCUUCCUUGUCUUCCUGAGUGAGAGUAUGGAUGGAAAUUGCUGUUAGAUUAAUUGAUGCAGUGAAAAAGCCCACCAGCAUGAGCAGCCUGGCCAGCAGAGCAGGAAUGUCAUCAUAGAAUCUUGGACUGGGUGUGAUUUACAGCAUGCAGUAUCACAGCUCCAUCUUUUAUCAUCUUACACAUGCAUGCAGGGGAAAUAUAGUCCUAAGAGGCUUCUAUAGAGCAUGAGACAACUGUGUCUCUUCAGAGAUCUGGAGUGAAAACUAAUUUCUGUUUUACCUGCAGAUCCUUGUUGUAGGUGCUUGGAAGUCCUUUCAAAACCAUGAGAAUAGCAGCCAACUGCAGAGAAACAGGCUCACCCGUCCAAACACACGACCAGCUUUGCUGCGGAUCAGUUCCAGGCUAUCAGGGUUUUUUCUUCUGAGGCAACAGGCUGCUGCCAGUGCUGGAAGAAAGGAAUUGGAAGUGGAAUGAAUCUGGUGUCAAACUGCUCCUUGAAACAUGGUCUGAGCCUCAGCAAACUGAACUCUAGACUAAACCAGAAGUUCUCUUCCAAAGAAAAAGAUUGACAUGAUGAAAGCCUUGUAGUUCUUGACUUCAAAUAGGAGGGAGAAGAGUAUCUCUUUGGUGGGUAUGUCAAUCACAGCACCUUUCUAUGCGUGAAGGAAGGCUUUGAGAUUUUGAAACUCUGCAGUUUCUUGUAGCACACAAGCGCUGGUGGUUCAGAGGAUGUAAUGGUCUGCCUCUUGGUCAUUUAAUAGAGCAAAGUGAUGCCCAGGGAUUACACAGAAAGUAGACAUUACCUUCCCAGAGGCAAGACAUCCAUCCUUUUCUUCACAUCACCCAGGCGCUCAGAAUCACGGGUCAGUGCAACAGCGUGGCUAGGAGGGGACAUGAGAGAAAGCAGAUGUGUCUCCCCCAGUUGCCCCAUCACAGAAUGAUGCACUUUUAUGCUCCAUCUGUGCAGGGCUCCAGGAAUGGAGAAAGGUUCCCUUCCUAGGGCCCAGUGUGAAAGGUGGUUACCUGAGCAGGAACUGGCUCCAUCUGAUGGGCAGAGCUUUCUGCAGGUGGGUGUAGCCAGGCAUGAU